AACUCUCGGCAACGAAUAUGUUAGCUUUCAUAUUCAUGAAGAACGUAGCGAAAUGCGAUACUUGGUGUGAAUUGCAGAAUCACGUGAACCAUCGACUUUUAGAAUGCAUGUUGCACCCGAAGCUAUUAUGCCAAGGGCACUUCUGACUAGGCAUCA
rnacentral:rRNA from 1 species